AGGACCAACUUCCUCGCAGCUUUGCUGAAACUGCACAAAAAAGGCAACCGGGGGGCGGCGGGGGGGGGGGGGGGCUGGUUAUUUUUUGUUAUUUUCUUUUCCUCCGGUUAAAAGGCGAAGCUUCCCACACACGCACGCUACUGGAAGAUUAUUUCUAUUUUUUUUUCUUUUUUUUUUUCCUCGCUGUCUCGUACGCUGGCACGGUCCUGAGAGUGGCUAUUUUGCUUUUGCACCGAGAGAAAAGCUUCCCGCCCCCUCCUCUUCUGACAAUCCAUCAUUCUAGAGGGACAGCCUGCCGGAAACAGGGAAGAGGCACAUGGAAAUGGAGAGAAAAGAAUUGUAAUGGAAGGUGCUGAGUUGGAUGACUGAAGUCUUCAUCAAAUAAGAAAGUGCCCUUCUUGCACUGAGAAGUUUCUCGCUGCUUAAGCAGACACGUUGAAGCUUAUGGAGGAAGUCUACACACUGACUACUAACCUGUAAUGAAAGCCAAUGCAGGAACUCCAGGACCAAAACCUAUACUUGAAGCUCAAUCGGGGCUGUGAAUCCCUGAGAAAUAGGGAAGAAGACUCUUCUCUUCAGUUUGCAGCCCCUGCUGUGGUUAAAAAGAUCAGCUACAAGUCCUUGCCUUCUGAGCAGCAGGACCAGCCACAGCCUGCUGAGCUCACAGUUCACAGGGUGAUGGCUGCUGUAAUCCAACAGCCACUGCCGCUCUUUGCUGAUAGAUCUCGCUGAACAGCGGGGUCAGCGAUAACUGGCCUCUGUGACAGCCACGGCUCCUGGAUCACCACAGGUCCUGCUGUGAAAUCCUUCUGCAACUCUUCAGGGUCAGCACUAGGUCUGACUCCAACUGAAUGUUUUCCUUUUACCAUCUGCAGUCUUUAUCACUGCACUUUUUCAGCCCAUGUAGGAACGGGUGGACCAGCAAAGGUGCCAGUGCAAACCUUUGUUAGGUGGCAUUGUUAGAAUUGCCCAUUAGCUGCCAUACUGUUCCCUAGCUUGUAACACUUUAUUAAUCCACAAAGAAUUUUAAUUAACUCAAUAUUUCAUUCUGCUAACAGUCUUCAGUUAUGGAGCUUUCGGGUCACCCUUCUCUGUGUAUCUGUUGACUCCUUCAAAUAACACCAAGGCUUUAAGACAAAACUACCUUGUACAAAAGCCAGAAUGAUGGUUGCCUCUUACACCUACCCGUGUUCCUAUUAAUUAUAUUCUUUAUCACAUCCGCUGGCAUUUUAUCUGUCACAGUAGUCAGACUUAUUGGCCCACAAUCACCCCUAGGGCCCUUUUUAAAACUAGCAUCAAAUUUGUUACUUCCAUUCCUCAGUAAUCAAGGCUAAUUUAAUUGAUAGAUUAUACAAUGCAGUUCAUGGCCCAUGAUUUAAUUUCUGAAUUUCUCCAGGACUACUGAAUGAACAAAAUGCUAUCUGGCAAUCUGUUAAUGUUUAUUCAAUCAAUUUCUUCAAAAAUCCUUUAUCGAUCUCUAAAAACUGAAAUAUUCCCUAUAAAGAACAAAUUUCACAUGCAGAUGUCCCUAAUUUCCCUUUAAUAAACCUUGCCAAUGGAAAUAAGUUCAUUUGUUUAAUUCUGCGAUGGCUUUGUCUUUAAAUAUUCUCUUUAUCCACGUUAUCUAUUGAACUCUCCUUCCCAGUAGCAAGAUUUACACUUAAAAAAAAAGUUUUUUGGCUUUUAGGAUUUUAUCCUGUUGCAUUUAAAAAUCUUUUUGUCCUGCCUUAUAAUAGUUCUACAUUUAACUUGCCAGAAUUGUGCUCUUUUCUGCUUUGCUUGUACAGAUUUCAUUUUUUGAAAAACCUCUAUUUAUUUCUAGUAACUUCCUUUACUGUUCAGUUGUGUUAGAUAAUUCUUACUUAUUUGGGUUAGAAUCAGAAAGCAAAUUCUGUGUCACUUUUAGUGUUUAUUUAGACUGUAUCUUCAUUUGUAUGCAAUUGUUUUUAAAACAAUACUGGACUCUUUCUCACCUACAUGUAUGAGAAACCUGAGUAUGAUACAUUGCUACUGAAUGGCUCUCCUAUAGUCUGUUCUUGAGUGCUAAUCUAGAUUAAAUCAAGGGCUCUCCAAUGAAUUCUUUAGCUGGUUUGCUCAAAAUGUAGUUCUUGAUCAUACCUAAAAAUACAGCCUGUGCAUGGUGCCCUAAUGUUAACUUUAUCCAAUCUACACAUAGAUAACUAAGAACUUGUUAUGAUCAAGCUUUCCGGUUGUAUAGCCUGACCAGUAUUUCACAGUCCCUGCCUCCAUCCCAUCAACUAGUUCUGAGCUCUUACUAGACUUCUCCCACUCAGAUGCAGAGCCAUUUGUACUUAUGUUUUGUGGCUUAUUCUGAUAAAAUCAACUUAUUUGACCAUAUUUUCUUUGGUAUAUGCAGCGCCAUUUGUCUGCAUAGUCCAAUCUACCAUCUCUGUAUCAGCUAGGCACUAAACAUUCUAUUAUCUCUAUAUAAUCUCUCCACUGACGUUUCAGUGUCCCUUUGAAAAAAAGAUACAUUUAGACCCAUUUCCAGAAAGAGGAUGGUGACAUACCUGAGGAAUUCCUGAUGGAAUUCAUGCUUACCACACUUCUGAAGAAUCAUUACCUUCAAGGCACAAAGGAAACGGAGCACUAGGAGAUAGCAAUGUAGCAAGAUACAAAGUCAAAAUUGGUGUAGGUUUCUUCUCAACAGUGAUCUGAUGGCAUUUGAAAAGGGACGGACCAACAGUAUGGCUGCAACAACUCCCUGUGGUUACGCAAGGUUUCUGUCCAAGAGAUGCUGUGUCACAAAGGGAAUGCACUAAGGAGCAGAAGGAUGCUAUGGAAGUAUAAGAAGUCCUUUAACCUUUUACACACGUGGCGGAACUUUGUAAUACUCGCAUUUACUCCCUUCUGUGACAAGGGAGAGUCUGUUCUUUACUGCUGUGGAGAAGAGAGGGAUGCUUUCAGGAUACAACGCCAGAAGCUAUUGACUUGGGUUUGACAGCCGAGAGGGCCCCUAGGGCUAGCAUGUUAUCUAUUGGCUGCAACUCACUUCUUUCCCUUUUGCGAGGCCUCUAGUUGGAGCACCUCCUUUCUGCACUAAAUAUGAUGUGGUGUAAGUCACAGCAGAAUCACUGCCGUAUCCGGUGGAUAUUCACUACUAUUUAUUGGUAUUACCAUAAAUCUUGGGAGGCCUCACACCAGACCACUUCUCAUUAUGCUGGGCCAUGAAUAAACACACAACAAAAAUUAAGAUGUGCUUGAAUUCUACCUAAAGAGACAACAGAGAAAUUAUAGCAGAGUAUGGGUGCAAUGACACAGUACUAUUGUGAUAAGCAGUGCAUUAAUAUACCUGCAAUAUAACUGUUGUCUAGUUGGAUUGUUUUAAGCUUCACAGUACAUAAAACUUUAAGAAGAUAUUUAAAGGAAGAUAGUGAACAGUUCUGUUUAUGAAGAUGUCAACCAAUACAUGACAGGCAGCUGAGGAGAAAAUAUCCAGUGUAGUCUGAAAAUUUAAUGAUCGAGCGAUGGAAGCUGGCAUAUGGUGCAUAUGUUGAUCAAAACAAGAGUCAACAUCUUGAUACUGAAGAAGAGGUAUCAGGUAGAAGUAGUCUU